AUAUGAGUAUUUUUUUUAAUGGUCCUCUUUAAAUUUUGGGACAUUAGACACGUGUCGAUUUCUCUACUCUUUAAAAUCGGCCCUGGUUUGAAGGUGUCGUGCAUCUAUUUAUAAUAGAAGAAUGAGUGAUUUUGUUCGAACCCUAAGGUAUUAUGGCCUAUCUACUCGAUUCUCGAUGGCUAACGGCUCAAGCAAAGCUAUAAGCUAGAAAUUGUACAAAAUAUGAAAGAAAUGAAGAUGGAAUAUUAUUAGGGCAUGAUUUAAGGAGUGCAGUUUUGAUGCAGAACAAUGCAAGUAAUGAAAACAAUUAAUAAACAGCCGAGCCGGUCAUUUUUGUAUGUAGCCUCUCCCCAGGCGCGGCGCUCUCUCAGGUUAGGGUUCUUCAGGCGGCUUCAAAUUAGCAGAACCAAAAAAUGGAUAACUCGCAGUCGCUACAACUUCUGUCCUUUGGGCGAGCACUUUGUGCGCGUUGGGUAAACCCCAUUGUAUAAUAGCCUGCAAACCACACAGAAAAUGUAAACCGCACUAGGCAAGCCCUAUGCGAUGGAUUCGACUCAAAAGACAUUGAGGGGGAUCGAUCACAGUCCACCCUCCAAACUAAGUGAACCAUCCCGAAGGACAACUCUUUGAUUUAUUUGUACAUAAUUCAGAAUUCUUAAAAAAAAUAAAAAAAUAGUUAUGGUGUACUGUUCCUUAAUUUGUCUUACCUCUUACAGGCUGGAUACAGUGCACCUUUGCACUGUGAAACUAUAGCAGAUGAACCAAUUUCUAUUCCUAGUAAAAAUCUGUAACGGGAUUGGUUUUCA